CACACUGACUGGAAACCACAAGAAGAGAGUUUGUGUGGAGGAAGAGCAGAAAUCAGAGUCUCCAGUAUCCACCUGUGUGUCUGAACAUCGUCCUCCAGACGUCACUCAUGAAGCUGGAUCCUCAGACUUAAAGGUGGAGGACAGACGGGACAGCGCUACACCUGCCACACAAAAAGGACCUGAUCCUUCCACAUCCAGCACAAAG